AUGACUCAGUCACAUGUUCUGUUCUCCUUGUGCCAAUAUUUAGACCAGAAGGCCCAGCUGUCCUGCCCUCUCCCACCAUGAGUGUUAGCCUCCUGUUCUGGGGGGCCUUUUGUCUCCUGCUUGCAGGUGCAGCACAUGCAGGGGUCACUCAGAACCCUACAUUCCAGGUCUUAAAGAAAGGACAGAGCCUGACGAUGUCAUGUGUCCAGGACAUGAACCACAACUACAUGUACUGGUACCGCCAGGAUCCAGGAAUGGGCCUGAAGCAGAUUCAUUACUCAGUUGCUGCUGGCACCACUGAUAAAGGAGAAGUCCCUGAUGGGUAUAAUGCAUCUAGACCAAACAUACAGAACUUCCUGCUCACCGUGGAGUCAGCUGCCCCCUCGCAGACAUCUGUGUACUUCUGUGCCAGCAGUGAUCCACAGCACUGCAUAACCAGCUCUUCUCUACACACAAACCCAGGGCAGGCUCUGCCUCCAUCUCCUGAAACAGAACACAGCAAUGCCUGA